CCCAGAGGACACAGAGAGGGAGCCCAAUCCAACUACAGCUUUGGCUAGGGAGAACAGCCCCGUGCCUGCUAGUUUGCCUUAUCUGUCAGUCUGUGGCAGGACUCGGGUGACUGAAGAAAACAAGAACUGUAGUUGGCUCGGACUUUCCACACGAGUGACUCAAAGCAAACGAUGCACAGCUGAGCUAGAAGUCACGUUUCUCGUAGACUGAGGCUCACACUCAGAUGCGGCUCCUACAACACAAAGGCUGACUUGGUACUUAGCAAACGCCACAUGGAGCCGUCCUGAGCACACUGCGAAGCAGACACUGGUCUCUCCUCAUACACACAAGGAACUGGCCCAGGAUCACACAAAGGCCAGGUGGCCGAUCUGCUACUCUACACUGCUAAAUGACCCCCCCCACACACACAACACAACCUGUGUUUUCUUUAACACUCUGCAACUUCAGUACUCAGGCAGGGUCCUUCAAAGAUCCUAAACAUGAGUUUCCGGUUCCUGAUCUGAAGAGGACUUUUAAAAAAUCAGCCUUUUCAUUUUA